CCCCUAGAUGUUCUGGGCCGCACGCGCGCUACACUGAACAGUUCAACAAGUCUUAACCUUGGCCGAUAGGUCUGGGUAAUCUUUGAACGCUGUUCGUGAUUGGGAUAGACCUUUGCAAUUAUGGGUCUUCAACGAGGAAUUCCUAGUAAACGCAAGUCAUCAGCUUGCAUUGAUUACGUCCCUGCCCUUUGUACACACCGCCCGUCGCACCUACCGAUUGAAUGGUCCGGUGAAAUCUCGGGACGGCGGCUUGGUCGCUUGCGUCCGACUGCUGAAACUUGAUUAAACCAUAUCAUUUAGAGGAAGGUGGANUCGUAACA
rnacentral:rRNA from 1 species